UGCCAGCCGCCGCGGUAAUACGGAGGGAGCUAGCGUUGUUCGGAAUUACUGGGCGUAAAGCGCGCGUAGGCGGCUAUUUAAGUCAGAUGUGAAAGUCCACGGCUCAACCGUGGAAGUGCAUUUGAAACUGGAUGGCUUGAGUACUGGAGGGGGUGGUGGAAUUCCCGGUGUAGAGGUGAAAUUCGUAGAUAUUCGGAGGAACACCAGUGGCGAAGGCGGCUCACUGGCUCGAUACUGACGCUGAGGUGCGAAAGCGUGGGGAGCAAACAGGAUUAGAUA
rnacentral:rRNA from 1 species